rnacentral:lncRNA from 1 species
AUACAAAUCAAGAUUAUUUCCUUUCUAAUAUAGAAGAUCAGAACAUGCUGCAACCACAGAGCAUACUCAGACAGAACCUUGACUCAGUUACCAAGAUAAAUCUUUUCUAAUGUGGAAGAUCAGACUAGCUGCAAUCCACAGAGCAUAAUUAGACAGUACCUUGGCUCUGAUACCAAUUGUUGUGGAAGCCAAAUGUAUAUAGUUGUGAAUGAGUCACAACAACUAUACCAAAAAUUAUAGCAGCCACUAAAUAAUAAAUAAGACAAAUAAAACAACAAUAAGAGGAACUCCAGAAUAUACGAGGUUCGACCAAUUUUGCCUACCCCUCGGACACAACCAAUAUUUUAUUCCACUCCAAAAAUACAAGUAAAAUAAUACUAAAGAGAGAAGAUACAAAUGACUUAAACAGAUGAGAAGGCAAAUGAGAGGUGUUUUUAAAUAUUAAACAUUAGGCCUUCUUUUAUAGGGGAAAAUUACCCCAACUCAAGUUCCCCACCAAUGUGGGAUGAAGACUUACACAUAUUUUGACCAAAAGCAAAGAAAUAGGAAAAGAACUAACCUUUUGCGGUGCAGUGAACUUGGGGCGUGUCUACUAUUUUCGGCCUAAGAUCCGAUGACUGGAACGACAGUUUCGAAAACAAAGACGGUAAUGCCUCUGUUAUAUUUUUACAGAUCAAGCUAUUAGAAAGUGGUUUAAAGGAGUAAAGAGGAGUAACGGUACAAGGGUCUGAAGCGGCGGAUACCAAAAUAGUCACAAAAUCUGGUAUUUACAGGUGUAAAAUUAGGGUUCUUGCUUCCUUUGAGCGGGAAUUUGGAAUUCGGAUUUCAAAUGCAGUCAAAUGGAUCCGUUUGAAUUUUAACGUUGAAGCCUUUUGGAUGGAUUGGAUCUUCACGUAAUUCUUCAGGGAUAUGCUUCAGGUUACACUCGAAAUGGUGAGAUAUGCUCUGUCACGUAGGAAUUUGAAGGUCAAAGCUUGGCUAAAAAUAAAGAAAAAUGCCAAGAGAGCUCUGCCGUAGCAGAGAAUGAAAGGGACAAUGGAGAGUGGGAAAGGGGAGACGUCUGUUUCUGAGAAAGAGGGGAACCCGAUAAACUAAACCUGGUCCUUAAUCAAACAGGCUAUUUCGGAUUGGGCUUCGUUCAUCUGGGCCGAUUUGUGGUGGGUGGGUUUCU